rnacentral:rRNA from 1 species
AGCGGCGGACGGGUGAGUAACGCGUGGGUAACCUGCCCUAUGGAGGGGGAUAACACAGAGAAAUCUGUGCUAAUACCGCAUAAGCGCACAGUAUCGCAUGAUACAGUGUGAAAAACUCCGGUGCCAUAGGAUGGACCCGCGUCUGAUUAGCUAGUUGGUGAGGUAAUGGCUCACCAAGGCGACGAUCAGUAGCCGACCUGAGAGGGUGAUCGGCCACAUUGGGACUGAGACACGGCCCAAACUCCUACGGGAGGCAGCAGUGGGGAAUAUUGCACAAUGGAGGAAACUCUGAUGCAGCGACGCCGCGUGAAGGAAGAAGGUUUUCGGAUCGUAAACUUCUAUCAGCAGGGAAGAAAAUGACGGUACCUGACUAAGAAGCCCCGGCUAACUACGUGCCAGCAGCCGCGGUAAUACGUAGGGGGCAAGCGUUAUCCGGAAUUACUGGGUGUAAAGGGAGCGUAGGCGGUAGAGUAAGUUAGAUGUGAAAGCCCAAGGCUCAACCUUGGGACUGCAUUUAAAACUGCUUUACUAGAGUACAGGAGAGGAAAGUGGAAUUCCUAGUGUAGCGGUGAAAUGCGUAGAUAUUAGGAGGAACACCAGUGGCGAAGGCGACUUUCUGGACUGUAACUGACGCUGAGGCUCGAAAGCGUGGGGAGCGAACAGGAUUAGAUACCCUGGUAGUCCACGCCGUAAACGAUGAGUGCUAGGUGUCGGGACGUCAAGUCUCGGUGCCGCAGCUAACGCAAUAAGCACUCCACCUGGGGAGUACGAUCGCAAGAUUGAAACUCAAAGGAAUUGACGGGGGCCCGCACAAGCGGUGGAGCAUGUGGUUUAAUUCGAAGCAACGCGAAGAACCUU